AACGUAGGAGGCGAGCGUUAUCCGGAUUUACUGGGCGUAAAGCGCGUGCAGGCGGAUUGGAAAGUUGGAUGUGAAAGCUCCCGGCUCAACUGGGAGAGGUCGUUCAAAACUACCAGUCUAGAGGACUAUAGAGGGAAGUGGAAUUCCGGGUGUAGUGGUGAAAUGCGUAGAUAUCCGGAGGAACACCAGUGGCGAAAGCGGCUUCCUGGAUAGUAUCUGACGCUCAGACGCGAAAGCUAGGGUAGCAAACGGG
rnacentral:rRNA from 1 species